UGCUUGCAUCAUGAUUUACAUUUGAGUGAGUGGCGAACUGGUGAGUAACACGUGGGAAACCUGCCCAGAAGCGGGGGAUAACACCUGGAAACAGAUGCUAAUACCGCAUAACAACUUGGACCGCAUGGUCCGAGUUUGAAAGAUGGCUUCGGCUAUCACUUUUGGAUGGUCCCGCGGCGUAUUAGCUAGAUGGUGAGGUAACGGCUCACCAUGGCAAUGAUACGUAGCCGACCUGAGAGGGUAAUCGGCCACAUUGGGACUGAGACACGGCCCAAACUCCUACGGGAGGCAGCAGUAGGGAAUCUUCCACAAUGGACGAAAGUCUGAUGGAGCAACGCCGCGUGAGUGAAGAAGGGUUUCGGCUCGUAAAACUCUGUUGUUAAAGAAGAACAUAUCUGAGAGUAACUGUUCAGGUAUUGACGGUAUUUAACCAGAAAGCCACGGCUAACUACGUGCCAGCAGCCGCGGUAAUACGUAGGUGGCAAGCGUUGUCCGGAUUUAUUGGGCGUAAAGCGAGCGCAGGCGGUUUUUUAAGUCUGAUGUGAAAGCCUUCGGCUCAACCGAAGAAGUGCAUCGGAAACUGGGAAACUUGAGUGCAGAAGAGGACAGUGGAACUCC
rnacentral:rRNA from 2 species